GACGUAGGCAGCAAGCGUUGUUCGGAGUUACUGGGCGUAAAGGGUGUGUAGGCGGUUGUUUAAGUUUGGUGUGAAAUCUCCCGGCUCAACUGGGAGGGUGCGCCGAAUACUGAAUGACUAGAGUGCGGGAGAGGAAAGUGGAAUUCCUGGUGUAGCGGUGAAAUGCGUAGAUAUCAGGAGGAACACCGGUGGUGUAGACGGCUUUCUGGACCGUAACUGACGCUGAGACACGAAAGCGUGGGUAGCAAAUAGG
rnacentral:rRNA from 1 species